GACGAACGCUGGCGGCGUGCCUAAUACAUGCAAGUCGAACGCAGUGGGGACGGGUGAGUAACACGUGGGUAACCUCCCAUCAGAGGGGAUAACACUUGGAAACAGGUGCUAAACCGAUACUGAUGGAUGGACCCGCGGUGCAUUAGCUAGUUGGUGAGGUAACGGCUCACCAAGGCCACGAUGCAUAGCGCAUCUGAGAGGGUGAUCGGCCACACUGGGAGUGAGACACGGCCCAGCCCCCUACGUGAGGCAGCCGUAGGGAAUCUUGGGCAAGGGACGAAAGGCGGACCCAGCAACGCCGCGGAAGUGAAGAAGGUUUUCGGCUCGUAAAACUCGUGUGUUAGAGAUUCGGUAUCUAACCAGAAAGCCCCGGCGAACGACGUGCCAGCAGCCGCGGUAAUAA
rnacentral:rRNA from 1 species